GAUGAAGAACGUAGCGAACUGCGAUAAGUAAUGUGAAUUGCAGAAUUCAGUGAAUCAUCGAGUCUUUGAACGCACAUUGCGCCCCCUGGCAUUCCGGGGGGCAUGCCUGUCCGAGCGUCAUUGCUGCCCAUCAAGCCCGGCUUGUGUGUUGGGUCGUCGUCCCCCCCGGGGGACGGGCCCGAAAGGCAGCGGCGGCACCGUGUCCGGUCCUCGAGCGUAUGGGGCUUUGUCACCCGCUCGAUUAGGGCCGGCCGGGCGCCAGCCGACGUCUCCAACCAUUUUUUUUCAGGUUGACCUCGGAUCAGGUAGGGAUACCCGCUGAACUUAAGCAUAUCAAUAAGCGGAGGA
rnacentral:misc_RNA from 1 species